rnacentral:rRNA from 1 species
AUGAAUUGCCUAGUGUGGAACUGUCGAGGGGCGGGGAACCCUCGCACAGUUCGUGACUUACAGGCUCUGUGUAGAGCCAAUUCCCCGAGGAUGGUGUUUUUGUGUGAGACUAGGCAACAACUACAUAAGAUGAAGAGGUUGCGUAAUCGGUUAGGGCUCCGUGGCUUUGAUGGCAUAAGUAGCAUUGGGAAGAGUGGUGGUUUAGCGCUGUUUUGGGAUGAUUCUAUG